UUUUCUUCCCUUUUCCUCUAAUUAUCUUUCUAAUUUUCCAUUGUCUUCUUCCUUUUCCUCCUCACUGUAAACUGAAAAUGAAAGGAAAUGUAUUUCCUUCCCUCCCAUUUUCGACGAUAUACAAGUUCUGUUCGUCUUCAAUUUUUGCCUUACUUUUUUCGAUUUUAUGUUCCUACCGAUGAAACCUAUUUUUUUUGUGACGGUUGCAUUUUGAUGCUACCUUCGAAACGGUUCUCAUCCUCUCUUCGAUGCAUUUCGUUGAUUGAUUGCCACACAAACGUGUGUUACCUCCGAAACGUUUCUCAUCCUCUCUCCAUCUUUCCAUAUGUUUGAUUUGCCAAUGAAACCUACCUUGCCGCUCCUCAACCCUUGUCGGUUUGAGAACGAGUUCACUGCUCUUUUGUUUCGACCAAACGUCCAUUAAUGUCACAGAUGCUACACUAAUAUGUUGAACGAAAGUCAAGUAGGGGCACGAUGGAGCAUGGUAGGGGUCGUCGGUCAACACUGAAGGUUGUCGCACUUAUACCAUUCGUAAAGGAGGUACUACGGCUAUAAACCUCAUUCAUUUAUCAAGCCGAUCUAUUUGUGGUCUAGUUAAUUGAAUUUUGUAAUAAAUUCAUUUGUUUCCUUCGUCUUAAUGUUUGUUUAUUAAACGCUUGCUAUACGUCAUUAUGUAAACCGUAAUUUCCUUACUAUAUUGAAUAAUAGUUUUGUUUAUUGAUUAA